rnacentral:lncRNA from 1 species
GCAGAAGAAAGGCGUCGACUCUCAGGCAAGAUGAAGCCCCCGAAGGGAAAGAGAGGGCUUAAAUAAGCGAUGAGGGCUGGCACAGUUAUGGUGGCAGAUAUCCCUAGGUCAACCAAUGCCUGUCACAUGUCCCACUCACCGCGGCGUAGGGCUGACCACUGGCGGGACCAUUAUGGUGUGGCACUUGGGACUACGCUCCAGCAGGAAUUUCGAAAGGACCCUUCGGAUCACCCU